AGGCGUCUGUCUGCCAGACGGCUGUUGCAGGGAGUUCGGGCGGGCUCCGCUGAGCCGCUGAGGUGAGGGGACGGCGAGAAGGCGGGAAGGUAAAAGCUGGGAGAAGCAACAGGAGUGGCUGUACAGAGAGCCCCAAAGAGAGCUUCACAUCCCUAUCCAGGACCUGCUUACAACGUCACGUCAGAAAUGGAUUCUGCUUAUCCUGACAUUUCAUUUCUGUGAGGGAAGGCUUUCA
rnacentral:lncRNA from 1 species